rnacentral:rRNA from 1 species
GAUGAACGCUAGCUACAGGCUUAACACAUGCAAGUCGGGGGGUAACAAGAGAAAAGCUUGCUUUUCUUGUUGACGACCGGCGCACGGGUGAGUAACGCGUAUCCAACCUGCCCCCAACUAGGGAAUAACCUUGCGAAAGUAAGACUAAUACCCUAUAAUUUCCUCAGAUGUCAUCUGACGAGGAAUAAAGAUUUAUCGGUUGUGGAUGGGGAUGCGUCUGAUUAGCUUGUUGGCGGGGUAACGGCCCACCCAGGCAACGAUCAGGAGGGGUUCGGAGACGAAGGUCCCCUACAGGGGAACGGAUACACGGUCCAAACUCCGACGGAGAGCAGCAGUGAGGAAUAUUGGUCAAUGGGCGGAAGCCUGAACCAGCCAAGUAGCGUGCAGGAUGACGGCCCUAUGGGUUGUAAACUGCGUUUAUACAGGAAUAAAGUUAGCCACGUGUGGUUAUUUGUAGGUACUGUAUGAAUAAGGACCGGCUAAUUCCGUGCCAGCCGCCGCCGUAA